rnacentral:lncRNA from 1 species
AUUGAUGAUUCAUUUUUCGAAGUCUUCUAAGUUUGCUCUUGGAUUUCUUGGUUGAUUUAACUCAGCUGUCCCUUUCUCUUUGGAAUUACCUUCUUUCGAGACGUGUCCUUCUUAGAUCUUAUGCAAGUCCUCAACCUGUGCCCCGCUCCAAGCAAUUCCCACACCUAAGUGAAGUACCUCUCCUUGAAAUCUUGUGAGGAUCCUUGCUUUCAUCCUCCCUUCUUCUUGAUUUCUCUGGUUUUCCUUG